rnacentral:ncRNA from 1 species
AGCGAUACUGACGUGCAAAUCGUUCGUCUGACUUGGGUAUAGGGGCGAAAGACUAAUCGAACCAUCUAGUAGCUGGUUCCCUCCGAGCUUUCCCUCAGGAUAGCUGGAGCCCAUUACGAGUUCUAUCAGGUAAAGCCAAUGAUUAGAGGCAUUGGGGACGCAACGUCCUCGACCUAUUCUCAAACUUUAAAUAGGUAGGAUGGCUCGGCUG